UGCAAAUUGUAUAAGUGCAGCGUUGAACGCACUGACAUGAAGUUAAUAUAGACGAAAAUUAAAAGUUAAUAUUUAAGUGAACACGAAGUAAUAGCAAAUACUUGCAUAAAAUAAUUUUGGAAAGGAGGCUGUGUGGGAUUUGUAAACUUAGGGGCAGUUGUACAAUCGCCGACUAAAUCCAAGUUGGAAUAAGCUAACCACCGUAUAACCACAGGUAUAACUUUGAGUGCGCGUUGUAGCAUGCGGUUUUAUUCCGCAGUUAGUUGUUCCUGGAAUAGCGAUCCCGUCUAGUUAAGUUGGCGACAACCGAAGUGCAUGGUGGGUAUUUGCGCGCAUGUGAUUCAGUUUAUUUACUUCUCGUCGUCUGCUAAAGAAGUUUUGUCAACUUGGGCGAGAAACGAUCAAGGAAGCAAAACUAUUUAAAAAACUUGUAGACAUGACACAAGAUUAGGAAAACAUUAUAGAGAACAAGAAAAGGGAUGCAUUGAAAAGAAGAAAGCAUGUGACAAAAUAUGUGAUGCAUAUAAUCCACAAUGUCGCACAGACCGAGCGAACAACUUCAACAGAACUGAUUCACUAAAGAAAGAGACGAAAAAAUAUUAUGCCAUAUUAAGGCAGCAAAGCUGCAGUGUGGCUGUGAUCCAUUUGUGCAGCACAAGUACCAAGUUGUGUAUGCCAAUAUAUGCAAUUCGAUGAAACUAUCCAUAGCGAAAGUCAUUUUGAUUCUGACGCAACGUUUAAAAGCAAGAUAAUAUUCCCUCCAAAGUAUCUGAAUGAUAGAGUGUCCUACAACCUAUGACAGCACGGGCGUAACGGAGAUUGUUUUUGCCGAUAAUACCGAGGUGUGGCAUCAGUCCAGGAGAAUGCCUGUCAGCUACACAAGUAUCAGGUACAUCACAAUAAUGUUCUAGGUAUGCUGUACUUGCAGGUUAUCAGAACUGUUAAGCACAAAUCUAACACUAAAGCUCAAAAUCUACAUCAGAAAAUUGUAAUUCCAUUCUAAAGAGAUUUUUCAUUAUGUGAUUCUAAAAACUAAAGCACAUUCAUUAGUUUUUAUGACAGGUUGUACAGAAUUUGACUCAUGAAGCAAUGUGUGUAUAGUGUGUGUGGUGACUGAUAGUGAGAUAUGA